AAAUCCAAUCUUCUGUGUACGCCGUACAUGUUGUUGGAACUUCAAACACGUCAAAAGGUUCACGUUUAAUCACUGUGUUAGUUUUUCCUCUGUUGUUUGGACAAGUUAUGGUGAUUGUCAUUUCUUGUGCUGAGGUGUAUCCCCAUCUUCGGUGUCCCAGGUAUACAGUUUGUUGUCCGGUCCAUGGAGAUAAUUUCGUUGAACAUUGUACGCGGCUUCUUUUCUCAUCUUUUAGAAACAAUGCCAUUGCGCAGCUUGGCUCCCUAUGCCUUUUGUUUAUUGCUUUGCUGAUAGGGCAAAUCGAUGUGGUUGUCAUCAUGCAGCGAUGUGCUUCGUGUGUUGACAAUUCGGUAAACGCUUGUCUAUCGUUUGCCACAGCUAAGAAUGCCGGUAACGGAUGAAACUGUGCCCCUUGGGUGGCGUUUUUCGUUGGUCUUGGCAAGCUUAUUACCUCGUAUAGAGUGAAUCCAAAUGGGAACUCGAACACAGACUUGCCAGGUGUCUCCCAUUUGAAUAGAAGGGCUCAAUGACCAUCCAGAUGGCAAAAUUGCUUUUAUUUCUUUUAACACUGCUUGGAUUUGCAUAGGUGGGAAAAGUAGUGCUGGAAGUCUUUCCAUUGCCAUUGUUGUUAGGCCGACGGCAAAAUCUUCAAUCGAUUCGUCCAGCCAUGCCAAGGCUGACUUGAUUUCACGAAAGGUGUUUUCAAUGGCUGCUCUGGCUAUUUCAUGUUUUUCAACUUCUUGGGUAAUUCCAUCAAUUUUGUGAUCUGUUUUCCACGCCUCACGUUCUAGUUUUUCAAAAGCGUUUUGCAGUUCUUCAACGGCGUUUGACGUUGAUUUUGUUUCCCAAAGCGUCUCGUUGAUUAGUGACGCGUGCACUUCCAAUGCGUGAGCGAUUGAAGUGGUUUCUGUUGAUAACUUUUCAACAUGAUUGUUGACGUGUUCUAGAUCUUCUUCAGUUGACACCCCAAAGAGCCAAUUGAGAACUUUUCCUCCUCCAUCGAUUAGGCCUCUUUUCUUACGGGUUUUUUAAUUCUGCUCGUGCUCGUUCCUCGACUUCUUCUUUUAUCCGUUUUUUAAACCCGUCGUUUGGACCUUCGUAUCUGAAGUUUAGAGUGUUGACCUUUC